rnacentral:rRNA from 1 species
ACGUAGGGAGCAAGCGUUGUCCGGAAUCAUUGGGCGUAAAGCGCGCGUAGGCGGCCCCGUAAGUCCGCUGUGAAAGUCAAAGGCUCAACCUUUGAAAGCCGGUGGAAACUGUGGGGCUAGAGUCCGGAAGAGGCGAGUGGAAUUCCUGGUGUAGCGGUGAAAUGCGCAGAUAUCAGGAGGAACACCAAUGGCGAAGGCAGCUCGCUGGGACGGUACUGACACUGAGACGCGAAAGCGUGGGGAGCAAACAGGA